GAUGAACGCUGGCGGCGUGCCUAAUACAUGCAAGUCGAGCGAACGGACGAGAAGCUUGCUUCUCUGAUGUUAGCGGCGGACGGGUGAGUAACACGUGGAUAACCUACCUAUAAGACUGGGAUAAAUUCGGGAAACCGGAGCUAAUACCGGAUAAUAUUUUGAACCGCAUGGUUCAAAAGUGAAAGACGGUCUUGCUGUCACUUAUAGAUGGAUCCGCGCUGCAUUAGCUAGUUGGUAAGGUAACGGCUUACCAAGGCAACGAUGCAUAGCCGACCUGAGAGGGUGAUCGGCCACACUGGAACUGAGACACGGUCCAGACUCCUACGGGAGGCAGCAGUAGGGAAUCUUCCGCAAUGGGCGAAAGCCUGACGGAGCAACGCCGCGUGAGUGAUGAAGGUCUUCGGAUCGUAAAACUCUGCUAUUAGGGAAGAACAUAUGUGUAAGUAACUGUGCACAUCUUGACGGUACCUAAUCAGAAAGCCACGGCUAACUACGUG
rnacentral:rRNA from 1 species